AGGUCACGUGGCCUCAAUUGACGCUGAGGAGCGAAAGCAUGGGGAGCGAACAGGAUUAGAUACUCUGGUAGUCCAUGCCGUAAACGUUGGGCACUAGGUUGGGGUCCAUUCCACGGAUUCCGUGCCGCAGCAAACGCAUUAAGUGCCCCGCCUGGGGAGUACGGCCGCAAGGCUAAAACUCAAAGAAAUUGACGGGGGCCCGCACAAGCGUCGGAGCAUGCGGAUUAAUUCGAUGCAACGCGAAGAACCUUACCAAGGCUUGACAUACACCGGAAACGUGCAGAGAUGUGCGCCCCGCAAGGUCGGUGUACAGGUGGUGCAUGGUUGUCGUCAGCUCGUGUCGUGAGAUGUUGGGUUAAGUCCCGCAACGAGCGCAACCCUCGUCCCAUGUUGCCAGCGGGUUAUGCCGGGGACUCAUGGGAGACUGCCGGGGUCAACUCGGAGGAAGGUGGGGAUGACGUCAAAUCAUCAUGCCCCUUAUGUCUUGGGCUUCACGCAUGCUACAAUGGCCGGUACAAAGGGCUGCGAUACCGCGAGGUGGAGCGAAUCCCAAAAAGCCGUCUCAGUUCGGAUUGGGGUCUGCAACU
rnacentral:rRNA from 1 species